rnacentral:rRNA from 1 species
GACGAACGCUGGCGGCGUGCUUAACACAUGCAAGUCGAACGGAAAGGCCCUGCUUUUGUGGGGUGCUCGAGUGGCGAACGGGUGAGUAACACGUGAGUAACCUGCCCUUGACUUUGGGAUAACUUCAGGAAACUGGGGCUAAUACCGGAUAGGAGCUCCUGCUGCAUGGUGGGGGUUGGAAAGUUUCGGCGGUUGGGGAUGGACUCGCGGCUUAUCAGCUUGUUGGUGGGGUAGUGGCUUACCAAGGCUUUGACGGGUAGCCGGCCUGAGAGGGUGACCGGCCACAUUGGGACUGAGAUACGGCCCAGACUCCUACGGGAGGCAGCAGUGGGGAAUAUUGCACAAUGGGCGGAAGCCGGAUGCAGCAACGCCGCGUGCGGGAUGACGGCCUUCGGGUUGUAAACCGCUUUCGCCUGUGACGAAGCGUGAGUGACGGUAAUGGGUAAGAAGCACCGGCUAACUACGUG